rnacentral:rRNA from 1 species
GAUGAACGCUGGCGGCGUGCCUAAUACAUGCAAGUCGAGCGAACAGACGAGGAGCUUGCUCCUCUGACGUUAGCGGCGGACGGGGGAGUAACACGUGGAUAACCUACCUAUAAGACUGGGAUAACUUCGGGAAACCGGAGCGAAUACCGGAUAAUAUAUUGAACCGCAUGGUUCAAUAGUGAAAGACGGUUUUGCUGUCACUUAUAGAUGGAUCCGCGCCGCAUUAGCUAGUUGGUAAGGUAACGGCUUACCAAGGCAACGAUGCGUAGCCGACCUGAGAGGGUGACCGGCCACACUGGAACUGAGACACGGUCCAGACUCCUACGGGAGGCAGCAGUAGGGAAUCUUCCGCAAUGGGCGAAAGCCUGACGGAGCAACGCCGCGUGAGUGAUGAAGGUCUUCGGAUCGUAAAACUCUGUUAUUAGGGAAGAACAAAUGUGUAAGUAACUAUGCACGUCUUGACGGUACCUAAUCAGAAAGCCACGGCUAACUACGUG